AGCUUCAGCACCCGCAGUAGCCGGAAGGUGCGCAGCACCGACAGCCCGCCGUCCGCCUGCCCCACGAUCUCCCAGAUGCUGCAGGCAGGAGGUGGGGCCGGUACCUGAUGAUGACGAUGAUGCUGUCGAAGAUGUUGUACGGGUUCCGCAGAUAAUCGAAGAGCCCAAAAGCAGCCAGCUUCAGGAUCAUCUCCAGGGCAAACAUGCUGCACCCAUUUCACAGGUGGUCCAGCCAUCCCCCACUGAGCCCAGGGAUGGAGGACAAACACCGGGUAGAGCCCAACACAGGCCUCACAGUGGUGCUCAAAGAGGAUGCAAAGCCCCACAGAGAACACGGGGAUACCCCCGAAGUCACCAACUAGUCAAGGAGACACCAGCUCCCCUUGCCCAACCCAGCCACAGACCUCUCUCUGCCCCUUGAGCUGUUGGAACCAGGCCGCACUAUCAGCCAUGACAGGGAGAGGAGGCUCCAGGACUGAUCUGGAUGUUACGUGGCUGUGUGAGCCCAGGCGAGUCACUUUCCCCACCUCUGAGCCUUCAUCUCCUUACCAUCAAUCCAGGGUGGACAUGUGGCCACGUCCAUUCCCAGUCCCCACUAAGGCCCCACGGGACUUGUCCCUGUCUCCCCUCUGCAGCUCCCUGGGGGCCCAACAAAGCGUGUACAGGGCGGGGCACUGAUCCACACUAGACUCCAAAGUGCUGUCCCAUCACAUCACGCCUGAAACUGCACCCCAGCUCAUGCAUCCGCACAUUCAUUCAUUCCUGCGGGAUUUCCACAGAUCUCCCGAGCACCUGCCGUGUGCUGGCAGUUGCGAUGGAGAAGUUCACCUUUGGGUGGCAGAGUCCCACCGACCACACUAACGAGCCAGCCAGUGCCUGCCCAUACCAGGGAAGCUCAGGGUGCUUUGGGGGACAGUGGCAGUGGGCCUGAAGGACUCCCGGAAGAAGGAACAUCUUAGACCUCGAAACUAAGAAGAGAGCCGACAGCAGGGAAGAGAGAAGGGGAUCACGGCAGGCCAUCUCCUAUCCAUCAGCACCCUCCAGACCCUCCACUGAGAGACAGGGAGCCUCAGAGGCCUGACUUUGAUUCCAUGUGAUUUAAAAGGAGAAGGAAAAAUAAAAUAACCCAACCACCAGCUUCCCACAUAGUGCCUGGGAAAUCUAAUAAAACUUCCAGCUCCUCUCAAGCCAGAUAAAAGGAGAAAGCCCUAUUUCCAUCUGUAAUUACAUUUGACUCACAAAGUGCUCCCAGAAGGGAGCGGGACCCCGAGAGGGGCCUCAGCGGGGAGGGCUCAGACGCUGUUCUGAGCUGCC